rnacentral:rRNA from 1 species
CCUACGGGGGGCAGCAGUGGGGAAUAUUGCGCAAUGGGCGAAAGCCUGACGCAGCGACGCCGCGUGAGGGAUGAAGGUCUUCGGAUCGUAAACCUCUGUCAGCAGGGAAGAACGGUCACUGUGCUAAUCAGCAGUGAAUUGACGGUACCUGCAAAGGAAGCACCGGCUAACUCCGUGCCAGCAGCCGCGGUAAUACGGAGGGUGCGAGCGUUAAUCGGAAUUACUGGGCGUAAAGCGCUCGUAGGCGGUAUGUCAAGUCAAGGGUGAAAUCCCCGCGCUCAACGUGGGAACUGCGUUUGAAACUGGCAGACUGGAGUGUGUGAGAGGAUAGUGGAAUUCCAGGUGUAGGGGUGAAAUCCGUAGAUAUCUGGAGGAACAUCAGUGGCGAAGGCGACUAUCUGGCACAUAACUGACGCUGAGGAGCGAAAGCGUGGGUAGCAAACAGGAUUAGAUACCCCAGUAGUC